rnacentral:rRNA from 1 species
CCCUUAGAUGUCCGGGGCCGCACGCGCGCUACACUGAAGGAAUCAGCGUGGCUUUCUCCCUGACCCGAAAGGGUUGGGAAACCCGUUGAAUCUCCUUCGUGAUAGGGAUUGGGGCUUGAUAUUGUUCCCCAUGAACGAGGAAUUCCCAGUAAGCGCGAGUCAUAAGCUCGCGUUGAUUACGUCCCUGCCCUUUGUACACACCGCCCGUCGCUACUACCGAUUGAACGGUUUAGUGAGGGCCUCGGAUUGGUCUCGGCCCGCUCUUUACCGGGCGGCGCCGUUGGUCGAGAAGACGCUCGAACUUGAUCGUUUAGAGGAAGUAAAAGUCGUAACA